GCGAGAGUAGCUCAGUUGGUAGAGCAUCAGCCUUCCAAGCUGAGGGUCGCCGGUUCGAACCCGGUCUCUCGCUCCA
rnacentral:tRNA from 6 species